rnacentral:rRNA from 1 species
GUCUAUGGCCACCCUGAACGUGCCCAAUCCUGUCUGAUCUCAGAAGCUAAGCAGGGUUGGGCCUGGUUAGUACUUGGAUGGGAGACCGCCUAGGAAGACCAGGUGCUGUAGGCA